rnacentral:rRNA from 1 species
AUUGAACGCUGGCGGAAUGCUUUACACAUGCAAGUCGAACGGUAGAGGGGGCAACCCCUCGAGAGUGGCGAACGGGUGAGUAAUAUAUCGGAACGUGCCCAGUCGUGGGGGAUAACGUAGCGAAAGUUACGCUAAUACCGCAUACGAACUAUGGAUGAAAGCGGGGGAUCGCAAGACCUCGCGCGAUUGGAGCGGCCGAUAUCAGAUUAGGUAGUUGGUGGGGUAAAGGCUCACCAAGCCGACGAUCUGUAGCUGGUCUGAGAGGACGACCAGCCACACUGGAACUGAGACACGGCCCAGACUCCUACGGGAGGCGGCAGUGGGGAAUUUUGGACAAUGGGCGCAAGCCUGAUCCAGCCAUGCCGCGUGCAGGAUGAAGGCCUUCGGGUUGUAAACUGCUUUUGUACGGAACGAAAAGGUUUGGCUUAAUACGUUGAACUCAUGACGGUACCGUAAGAAUAAGCACCGGCUAACUACGUGCCAGCCGCCGCGGUAA